rnacentral:rRNA from 1 species
UACGAAGGGUGCAAACGUUGCUCGGAAUCAUUGGGCGUAAAGCGCACGUAGGCGGCUUGCCAAGUCGGACGUGAAAUCCCUCAGCUCAACUGAGGACGUGCAUCCGAAACUGGCGAGCUUGAGUACUGAAGAGGAUCGCGGAAUUCCCGGUGUAGAGGUGAAAUUCGUAGAUAUCGGGAGGAACACCAGUGGCGAAGGCGGCGAUCUGGGCAGAUACUGACGCUGAGGAGCGAAAGCGUGGGUAGCAAACAGG